UGCGCAGGCGGGACUGCAAGUUGGAUGUGAAAUACCGGGGCUUAACCCCGGGACUGCAUCCAAAACUGUGGUUCUUGAGUGGAGUAGAGGUAAGCGGAAUUCCGAGUGUAGCGGUGAAAUGCGUAGAUAUUCGGAGGAACACCAGUGGCGAAGGCGGCUUACUGGGCUCUAACUGACGCUGAGGCACGAAAGCAUGGGUAGCAAACA
rnacentral:rRNA from 1 species